rnacentral:rRNA from 1 species
GAUGAACGCUGGCGGCGUGCCUAAUACAUGCAAGUCGAGCGAACAGACGAGGAGCUUGCUCCUCUGACGUUAGCGGCGGACGGGUGAGUAACACGUGGAUAACCUACCUAUAAGACUGGGAUAACUUCGGGAAACCGGAGCUAAUACCGGAUAAUAUAUUGAACCGCAUGGUUCAAUAGUGAAAGACGGUUUUGCUGUCACUUAUAGAUGGAUCCGCGCCGCAUUAGCUAGUUGGUAAGGUAACGGCUUACCAAGGCGACGAUGCGUAGCCGACCUGAGAGGGUGAUCGGCCACACUGGAACUGAGACACGGUCCAGACUCCUACGGGAGGCAGCAGUAGGGAAUCUUCCGAAAUGGGCGAAAGCCUGACGGAGCAACGCCGCGUGAGUGAUGAAGGUCUUCGGAUCGUAAAACUCUGUUAUUAGGGAAGAACAAAUGUGUAAGUAACUAUGCACGUCUUGACGGUACCUAAUCAGAAAGCCACGGCUAACUAC